ensembl:lncRNA
ACCGAGUUUUAUACGAAAAAACAUUUUCUAUUUCCUCCUCUUUCGGUUGUCUUUUUUAUCGUCCCUUUUUCCAGCACAUUUCGGGUUCCCUUCCAGAAGAGGAGAUCAGAUCGGGGCGGGCUGCGCAGCUUCUCCGGGUGUCUCUCUCUCACAGACAAACACAGCCACUUAUUGACUCCUCCUCUUUCUUCUUCUACUUCUACUAAGACUAGAAUAAUCGCACCAGCACCUCCGAGCGCACUGCCUUCAAAGCCAUGAUCAGACGCACCAGCAAAAACGAGGGACAGACGAAUCUCAGUGGCCAUCCGCAUGCAGAAGCCAUUAAAUCAAGUCAUCGUGGGGUGGUGGGGAGAAUCAAAACAGGAGCAGUGAGACACAUCACACAUGUGAUCCGCUCGCAGUCCACUCGCUACUAUCAUGGACAGCCCCAUAUGGGGUUCCAGAUCCGACACAACAACUGAUCUCUGGCCAAGGCCACUGCAAUGUAAACAGUCCAGGCGGUAGGUCAGAUCUAUUGCACUCGUAAAAUGUCUGAUAUUAAUGUGCAGAUCUGUAAUGUGAACGCAAAGUGAUCUGACGGUCACCAAGGAACCGCAGAGCAUCGCGUUCAGAGGCCGGCCUCGCAAGGUCCCGGCCUCUUACCUCUUUUGCCAAAACAACAACCGCACACACACAGACGGGCACACACACUCUCUCCAUACACACACACACGCACGCACACACACAGCAGGCAGAACCACACACAGCUUCUUAUGCAAACUUGCGUUUGCUGAAAACAAACCAAACCCGAGUCACUGACGCCACUUUCCCAGGGAAUGCACUUCUUCGUUUCCACGACUCUCUCUUGUACCGCUGUCCAUCCUCUCCAUCCCCACCCUUCCCCUAGGUGUUUGUGAUUCGUCUUGUGGUUUAGUAGCCAGAACCCCCCUCCCACAACC